CGCCCCCGGCGCCACCCUCGACGGCAGUGCCCCCGCCACCCGGACCGCCCGUGCCGCCGUCCACACCACCUCAGGCGGCCGCUCCAAGUCCCUGCUCUAGCCCUGGCCCUGUGCGCUCCGGGAGGACGUCACCGACCCCCACCAAGGCCAAGCAGGGCCAACGCGCGGGCAAAAGCAAGGCGCAAUCCGUGCCUGCGCGCCCUCGUGACGACAUGAGCUUACCCAUUCCUGUGUACCAGCGGCCGGCUGAGUUCUACGCCCAGCAGUCUGAGCAGGCGCAGCAGGCGUUCUCCGGUGCGGGGGGCGGCGGCCGGCGGCGCGCGGCGGGCGGCGGCGGCGUCGACUUCAGCAACCUCAUCCUGCUCACCAAGGGCGGCAAGAGCUACGGGCGGAGCAACUCGACGCCGGUGAGUACCGACCGAGAUACGCCGUCUCCAGUGGCCCUGCGGCUGGUAACGCAGAGCUCUCUCCUAGCAAAGUGGCGGGCAGCAGACCACGGCCAUGGACGGCCGGGACAUCUUCUCCGACCUCCGCGGGGCCGUGUCCGCCUCCACUGACACGCCGCUCGAUGCAUGCUCCAGCAGCGGGGACCUCACCAUCUCCCCGCCCAACUCCCCGCGAGAGACCGGGGGGCCGUCCGGUCAGGUGUUCAGAUGGCUGACGGUGUCCUCGCCACCGUCAGCAGCACC